rnacentral:rRNA from 1 species
GACGAACGCUGGCGGCGUGCUCAACACAUGCAAGCCGAACGAAGUGGCGAACGGGUGAGUAACGCGUAAUCAACCUGCCCUUCAGAGGGGGACAACAGUUGGAAACGACUGCUAAUACCGCAUACUGAAGGAGGGGACUGCGUCUGAUUAGAUAGUUGGUGGGGUAACGGCGCACCAAGGCGAUGAUCAGUAGCCGGUCUGAGAGGAUGAACGGCCACAUUGAGACUGAGAGACGGCCGAGACUCGUACGGGAGGAAGCAGUGGGGAAUCUACCGCAAGGGAAGAAAGUCUGACGGAGCAACGCCGAGUGAGUGAUGACGGCUUUCGGGUUGUAAAGCUCUGAUAAUCGGGACACGGUACCGGAAUAGAAAGCCACGGAUAACUACGUGCCAGCCGCCGCGGUAAUUC